UGGUCACUCAUUCGUCCUCCCCUUUUCCUUCGCACGUACGUCUCCUUCCCCCCUCUUCCUUCACAGGCACGUAUUCUCCUCCCCUCUUCUGCUUGUUCCCCUUCCUCCUCCGGCUGCAUCCUCGCGACGCAGCAGUUCGCCCUUCUCCCUCGUUAGCCGCCGCUGGGUCUUCCCACUGGAGAUGGAGGAGUAGGGGGUUCUGCCAGAUCCGAGGCGUGUGGACGUGGCGGCGAGCGUCUCCAACAGCGGCGGCGACCUGCAGACAAAGGGCGGCGGGGAGCGGCGCCUCCACCUCUCUCCUCCUCAUCUCCUUGCGCGCAGUGAGUGCUUUGGGGUUUCUGUUGGGACAAGGAGAGGAUCUGUGAUGCGCACAUCACUAGGUUGCACCACUACCCAAGCGACGGCUUCGCAGAUGAGCUGCUGGAGAUCGCCAAGGCCACCUGGGGCAAAGAAACAGUGAGGUUCCAUCCUUCCUUCUUCAAAAUUCAUCUCAUGUUUUACCUUCUUGAUUUCUCCAACAUCACUUGUGUGGAUGCCCAUAGGUAACAGAAAGCCACGAGUGGUCAGGACAAACAAAUGACCUGUGGAGCUUCAUAUUCAGUUAUUUGUUAGCUAUUUGCUUGCUUCAAAUGUCUACAUGCUAUAGGAAUUAAGGUUCUGCUGUCUCUAUUUUCACAGAUUUUAUUGUAUAUACAUGCAGAUAACUUCAGCAUGAGAGCAAGAGGUUGGAGCAGAUGCAACACAUUCAGUUGCUCCUGGACUGUAUAUAUUCAUGUUUUUGUAGGUAAUUGUUCACCUUUUAGUCAAUUUCCUUAUAGUUGUAGUUCAGAACUUCAGACACAACUUUCCAUGUUGUCAACCAGAAAAAAAAGCAAUUUAUUGGAACCAUUAGAUUUAUUAGUAGAUGUAGUCGUUAUAUUUCUACAGGGGAUGUACUAAAGCAAAGAAACCCAUCCCUUUUAAUUCAUGUAAAGUUCAUGUAUGUAAUGAGGUGGCACUCUUAAAGGGUGAAAAUUAUGCAAUAUUAUCCCCUUCCUUUUCUCAGUACUAAAUAUUUUUUGCGGUCUGUACUUUGCCAAUGAAUCUCAAAUUCCAAUACUCGGCUAUAACCAUUGUCACUACACUCAUAUGAAUGGUUUACAAAUUACAUGUUUGCAGAAUUUUCAGUCCAGUUGUUUUUCGACUUAGCAGAAUUAAUAUGUUGAUGGAAGGGGAAGCCAUCAAUUUCGGGGAAAAUGCCCACAGGGACAACACCAUUAGGCAUGGUGCUGACACUACAUGUUAUGAAGGAUAUAAAGUGGUCAGGAUCAACAAAAAACCUGCUGAGCUUCAUAUUCAGCUAUUUAUUAGCUACUUGUGUGCUUCAAAUGUCUACAUACUAUAGACUAUUUCGUAGAUUUUAUUGUAUACAUGCAGAUAACUUAAUCAAUUUGUUGGACAAUGAACAUGUUUUAAGAAGAAAAGUGGAUAUUAAGGUGUGCAUACAAAAACGCUGCUAGAUUCAGGGUAGAAGCACAAAUUGCAGAGAUGAUUUAUGACAUGUGAUUAUGUUUAAUAGCUUAAGGAUGGCGAUUAUAUGUCUAUUUCUAUACUGUCACGCAGGUGAGCGUCUCUCUUGUGUCCCUCUUGCCACCCGCUUUGUGCUAUUCAUAUGUUUCUUUUCUAUAUCUAGAACUGCUCUUUCGUUUGUGUUUGUCAAGGUUUGACAUGCUUGUGGUGGUUAAUCUCUGUAGGCUUUCUUUGACCUGGAGAAUGGCAACCAGGAGCUCAAGAGUGACAAGGACGUCUAUAUCAACACUUCAAUGGGCCGACGGCGUGCGGUAGACGUACGAGCUCCUCAUCUACAUUGACCUCCACUACGGCUCACGCGGCGCCAACGCCAAGCAGGAGGAGAAGGUGGGCUGAAUGGAAUGGAAAGUACAGAGAUGAUAUUCGAAGGUUCAUCAAGGCCUUCUUGAUUUAUAAUUUUCUUCCACCUCGUUGGUAUUGCUUUCAUACCAGCCACAGAGUUCUGCAUUUAAACAGAGGAGUGAACAUUUUUAUAUACUGUGUGCUCAUGACCUUUGUAUGGGUGAAUAGUCAAAUUUCAUAUGGAGAACAGUUCAUUGUUGGAAGAAGUAGCUGGUGCUGAAAGGAUCUCCAGGAGCCGAUGCAUCUCUUCAUAUUUUUGUGUACUACAAGUAGUUGGGGGCCUGCUAAAUCUCAGAGAAGGCUCUAUCUCAGAGAAGGCUCUAUCUAGCAGCUGCUGGAAUCCUUGUUCUCUAUCUUCCAUUUUUACAUCUAUAUUUUCAUAUUUGACACCUCAAAUUUCAAAUAACUAUAAUUUGGUAUUUGACCUGCA